rnacentral:lncRNA from 1 species
CAUUUUCACCAGCAUUUGAUUUUCCAUUUUCACCAGCAAAGCGAUUGCUUUGUAUCCAUGCCAUUGCAGCCGUUGAUCUUCAUCAGACGGCAUAAAACCUCUCCACCUAGAUCCAAACAGGACCGUCUGAUUAAUCAGACAGUUACGAUCGAUCCUGCCCCUUUUUUUAUCCUUUUGUUUUUUACACCCUUGGGCCUCCCUAGGGCUGGGCCUUGAUUUUCUACUAUUUGCACCUGUUUUAUUUAGUUUGCACCCUCAUCCUGACCUUUUUAUUUAUUUUUAUUUUAUUUAUUUCAUUUAUAAUUUGAUAUAUUUAUUUUCGAACUCAGCAUAAAAUGUUAAAAAAAAACACGAAAAAUAUCAAUUUUAAUUUUAUUUCAUUUGAAUCAAUUGACAUCAAAUAAAGUUCUAAUAAUAAAUGUGGACUAAAAAAGAGAUCGGCGAAUGUAAAUUUGUUUAUCUCUCGGAUAAUCGAGGCUUAACGUACGCUUAAUUUGUAUACUGAUUCCACACCUAAAAAUAAAUCCAACACAUCAAACUAAAUUUUUGCCCUUGCGCAAAUAGUGUGGUGAAGUUAGCGAGGACAUCCAACUCAAGAAUAGUCAAUGCUAAUUUAAUGUGUAGUUUAUAAUCAUGUUUUAAUAUACACUAAACUUAAUAAGUAGACGUUCUACCCAGCACUUAAAAAUUAUGCUUUAGAAAUGAAAAACACAUUAUUUUUAGGUUUAACUACACAUUUGAUCUCUUAUGUUUAUUUUAGGUUUUAAUUUGGUCUCUUACGUUUGAAAAGUAUCAAUUUGGUCGCUUACGUUUAUUUUAGGUUUCAAGUUAGUUCUUUUCGUUAGUUUUGUCACAUGUGACAACUAAUUUGCAUAUAUGGACAGACACGUGACAUUUGUACACACUCACACGUGACAAUUUUUUUACAAUGAGAUUAAGGAUCGAAUACAUAUUACCUAAAUCUCUCAGUAUUAUAUCAAACCUAGUAAUUUUGCCUCGUGUAUGUUGUGUGUUAACUAUUUUAUUCUUUUUCAUUUUUGUUAAAAUUAUUUUUGUCCUUUUUUCUUUUACAAGAAGUCCCACACCCAUGUCGUGACUUCAAUGCAAUCAGCAACUUGAACCACUCAACAGCUAUCCUUUUAUCUUAGCUAAGGCUAUAAAAACAGCAACAUCAACAACAAUUCAUAUUCACCCACGUUUUACAAACAGCUAGCAACAACAACAACAACAAAAUUGCACGCAGUAAGAUGGCCACAAACAUUCUUCUAAAUUAUGUUCCAGUUUAUGUCAUGCUCCCAGUAAGUGAUCAAACACAUAAAUUACGUGUUUCUAUAAGCUACUACUUCUAGCAUUUCAAUAUAAAAUAAAUAACUAGCUCAUUAUUAUGCAUGUUUGUGUAUUUUUGUUGAUUAUAAUUUUUUUAGUUUAAUAAAUUUUGUCUCUAAAAAUAUUGCAAAUUUUUAUCCGAAUCGCCAAUACAUGAUUCUGCAGGUGUUUUAUGAUUCGUUUUCGGUCCCUAAUAGACGUAAUUUUGACAUUUCUAGAACAUAAUCUGAAUAUAGAGAGGUUUGACAGUUUGACAUAAUGAUAUCUACCAAAAAAAAAAAAAAAAAA